GCGAUGAAUUAUUCACCGCUUUCUUUAAAAUUGUUUGUUACAAUUUUUUUGGUUGUUAAGAUUGUAUGUAAUUUGUUGAAAUUUUUAUAUAAUUGAUAGAAUUAUAUAUGAAAAAUAGAAAAAAGUGAGGUUGUUAGGAUUGUAUGUAGAUUAUUAGAAUUUUGGUUUCAUUGUUAGGAUUGUAUGAAUAGAUUAUUAAAAUUUUUUAGGCUGUUAAGAUUAUAUGUAAUUUAUUAAAAUUUGUAUGUAGUUGUUAGUAUUAUAAAUGAAAAAUAAAAAGAAAGAGUAAAUUAUUCACUGUUUUGUAUAUUAAGAGAAAGAUGGUGAAUAAUGCCACGCUUUUAUAGAAAAUUUUAGAAGGAUGUGAAUCGUUAACCAUCUCCACAACAAAUCUUGCACUUAAGGACACUUUAAAUAAUAACUAGUGACGCUUUAAAGUGUUGGCAAGAAUAAUUCCGAUGCUUGUAAAAACAUCGAGCAAAAAGUCGUUAAAUAAAUAUGUAGGGAUAAAUAUACCGAAACUUUAAUAUUACGGCGGAAAAUUUUUAUUAGUAUUUAAUAAAAAUAUGUUUAUUGGCGAUACGUAAUCAUGGUGUCGACACAUGCCAAAUAUUGGAGAUGCUAGAAUAGAGUAUCUUCUAAAAAGCGUCGUCUAAAAUAUAUUUUAUUGU
rnacentral:lncRNA from 1 species